rnacentral:lncRNA from 1 species
AGAUAGAGUGAGACCAGAGAGAAGAAGUGGCCCAGGAAGUCAUAACCUCCUGUUCCUGACUUGGACUUUCUCCUUUGUCCUAUGUCUGGAGACUUCUUGGAAGCUGGAGCACACAAAUAGCUACAGCAAACUUGAGGAAUGGGCAUGAAUAGACUGGCUUCGGGGAACCUGCCAGCUUGGCCGUGUGGCCAAGGUAAUAGGCAAGCCAAGGCAGAGCUAGAGCUCAGAGCUGGAGGGGAAAUUAAAGCAGCAAAUGUAGAAACAUUAAGCCUGAAGAGGCGACGACGUUGAAUUCUAAAAUGCAGGCCAAAGCUCAGACUGCAAGCUGUCUGGCUGCUCCGGGUGUGCCCAGAAGUCAAAGUCCAGCAGGGGCAAAGGUGGAGGUGUGGUCCUGCACGUGGGGUGUUGGGGGGAUGUGGAAGAGGAGGUGCUUUAAGAUCCAGAGAUUCCAGCUGCCCUGGUGCACCCUUGGAAGAAUAAAAGGCUAGGAACUGGACAAGUCAGGCUCGAGUCCAAGCUGCCUGAGGAAUCGGGGAAAGAAUGGAGCUCAGAGUGGGAGGUCAGGGCAGUAUUUAAAAAUCCAGGAUAGCAGCAAAGCUGGCGGUGGCCCCUGACUCUGGUAAGGGCAGCCUGCAGCACCAUGCCAAGGGGGGCCUGACUGAUCAUGCCCUGCAUUUGCAAACAAGGAUUAGUAGGGUAUGAGUAGGAUUCUGCUGGUGCCUGGGAAGGCAGUGCCAUCUACAACUUUACAAAGUUUUAACAAAGGCCUGAAGGACACAACCUUCCCCAAAGUCCUGACGUCGCUGUUUGCUGGCAACAAAUAGAGUCAAAAGAAGAGAGGCACAGAAUGUGCCAGGGGUGUGCUGCGUACAGCCCCGAUGACCACAAGGCCUUCUUGGGUCAAGUUCUGCCAUCUCUGGUUAAGAUGGGCUCACCCUCUAGGACCCUGAUUGAGUCCUCGGACCACCAAGAGUGCCCCACCAAGAGCCUCCCUCUUCUGGUGACUCGUGCCUGCUUCCCGUGGAGAGCUCCAGAAGGGAGGAAACUGUGAGGAGGUGGAGAACGUGGCAGGGAUCCUAACUUUCUUACUGAAGGAAGUUCUUCACAAGUACCCAUCUGCCUUCAGGGAAGAAAACAUAACUCAUUUUGGUCUUUCAAAUUCAGUUCUCAAAACCAAAUCCUGUUGUCAGCAAUCUGUGUCCCAACGCCUUCUUCAGCAACAGCAUUUUCCCUGUGGAAUUAGUUUCCAAUGUUCUUUCUUAAAUAAACCACUGAAGAUUAAAAGGAAUCCAGAUACCCACCACAUUUUGUUUCCUUAAUGAGUAAUUAUCACAUUUCUUUGGCUACUUAAAUGCAUUCUCUGAGUCAGGUAAAGGAGAUCGUAAUAGUUAAUCAACAAGAAGUAAUUCUUGGGUACUUAACAAUAGUCUAAGCACUUAAUCAUACUUAAAAUUGACUAUUAAUGAACCUUAUAAACCAUUUUGCAAUUCUGAAAGUGAAUUUCUCUGCAGGCUUAGAGAUUACUAAGCCAUUUAGAUCUUACCAAACAAAUAUUAUUCAUGCUUUAAUUCCUGGGAAAAGAAAUUUAGAAAAUGAGGUUAAUGUUCAGUUGUCCUUUCCUGAGUUUAACAAUUAUAUAUUCCAUCUGGGAUGCUCUGAACUCAGGUUAAACAUUCUUCAAGUUAUUCCCACAUUUUUCAAGUUAUUCCCACGUUAGUGACCUACUUUAUUAGUAUUAUUACUAAAGAAAAGGGCUGGGUGCGGUGGCCCACAUCUGUAAUCCCAGCACUUUGGGAGGCUGAAGCAGGAGGAUCACUUGAGCUUGGGAGUUCAAGACCAGCCUGAGAGGGAGACUCCGUCUCUACAAAAAAAAAAAAAUUAGCCAGGUAUGGUGGCACGCGCUCAUGGGCCCAGCUACUCAAGGAGGCUGAGGUGGGAGGAUCACGUGAACCUGGGAGGCAGAGCCUGCAGUGAGCCCUGGUUGUGCCUCUGUACUCAAGCCUGAGAGACAGAGUGAGACCCUGUCUCCAAACAAUAAAGUAAAAUAAAUAAAUAAAUAAAUAAGAAUGCAAAUCAAAGACAUUAAGAAAUAGCUUUACUUUAAUGUAGGCAUUUAAGGUAAAAUAGGUCACAUUCUCUUUUUUAAAAAAAUUACUGACCCACAGAAAAACAAGUCAAAAAGCAGACUAUUUCAUAUUAGUGUCUUUUUUUUAAAGAGGAUUAAUAUAAAUUGCCUUCUCACCUGUUUUUAAAAUAAAGGACUGAAUGAUAGAACUUAGACAACAAAUCUAGUAGCAUGAUAAAAGCCUUUCUUUGAUAGCUAGAAAAGGUAAACAAAGAAUAAAACAGGGUGAAGAAGAAAGAGGACAGAUAGAAUGUGAAUAUUAUCUACCUUUUUCUCAAGAUAAAACUAAUAUUGCUUUCUAAAAAGAAGCAAUUCUUUAGAGCAGAGGUCAGCAAACUUUUUCUAUAAAGAGCCAGAUAUUAACUAUUUUAUAAUUUGCAAACCACAUAAGUCCUCUGUUUCAUAUGGGUUUUUUUCUUUUUUCUUUUUAAACAAUACUUUAAAAAUGCUGAAAAUAUUCUUAGCUUACAUCUACAAAAAAGCAGGCAGUGGGCUGAUUUGACUCACAGGUGGUAUAGCUUGCUAAUUCCUGCUUUAGAUUUUAAGAAUGAGGCAGAUGUUGCCAGAAUUUGCUCUAAUUUACUAUGAGGUUUGCAAAUAAAAGUGCUCUUGACAUGAAAACUUGCUAUUUUUAAUGGAAAGACAUGUACAGCCCUUUCUCAGGAAGUGGAGAUUAAUGCAUAAAAUUUUAUUUUCCUAACAUAAAGCAUGUUUUUUCAAAAAAUGGCUUCUCCAUCUUGUGGCCCUUUGAUUAUGAUAGCUCUGAAAGCUUUGAAAAGCUUGCAAAUACUCAACUUCAGGAAUAAAACCACCUAUGAGACCCUCACCUGAAGGCAGGAUCUUUCCUGCAGCCUUGAGUCUUCCUAAUCAGAACCAUUGUUUCGUAAACUGGACUCCGAAGACAACACUUAAAGUCACUCAAGUUCGCUACAAAAUUCUUGUUUUGUGUUUUCAUUUCUAAAGACAAUAAAAAUAAUUGAUAUGAUCAAGUUUGGGAUUAUCUAGAUGAUCUAGACAACUAUUGCGGUCAAAAUAGGCCUGAUCACAGGCAUUUUCAGUACCCAUGGAAUUCUAGAGCUUUGGAUACUUGUCUAGUCUGUUUGGGUCACUAUAACAAAAUGCCAUAAACUGGGUGCUUAUAAAGAACAGAAUUUUAUUUCCCACAGUUCUGCAGGCUGGGAAGUCCAAAAUCGAGGCAGAUUUGAUGUCCUCAAGUGAUGGAAGAAUCAAGAGGUCUCUCUGGGGGCUCUUUUAUAAGGGCACUAACCCCAUUCAUGAGAGCAGAGCCUAAUUACCUCCCUAAGGCCCCAACUCCUAAUACUAUCACCUUGAGGGUGAGGAGGGAAACAUAAAAAUACCAUAGUAAUACUAAUAGGUACAUCAGUGAAGAACAAUAUCACAGUAUCGUGUAGACAGGAAGAUUUUGCUGCAAUUUGGUUGUUAAAACAAAAAGUCGUGGGUGGAUACAAUCAUCAGACAGUUCAGAAGUGGCAUCCACGUACUCACCCAAAGGAGGUGCACUGCAGUUGUGGGAGCCCUGUGCUUGCUACUAGCAGUGACUUAAUUUCUGCAAAGCUAUGUGAUCACAUUCAACUAUGCUAGUUAACUUUAAUUUUACUGAAUUUGGUUUAGGUAGGUAGUUUGUAAAUUUAACUUUCUACUUGUAUAAGAAGUAUAAUUAUAAAAACAGCAGGUCAGCACGACAGGUCUGAGAGAAUCUGUAUUCUGUAAAAAAAUACCUAUUUCUUACUUGGCGAAAAACAUUAGUCAAUGUUGCACCAAAAACCCCCCAAAAGCUAUAGAUCAGAUAUUGACUAAAAUGAAUAUACAAAAAUCUUGACUGGAAAUAUUUUAAGUCAAAACUAACAGCCUAUUUCAGGUAUUGACAGAACAAAUUCCAGAAGCAGAAUAACUGAAACAAUCAUGUUGAAAUUAAUUAUAAUGGGCAGAAUUUGACUGAAACUUGUUACCACCUUCACCAAAAUAUAGCCUUUCUUAUACUAUCAAAUGUAUUGAAUAAAUUGUGAGCACUUUCUUGUACAACUUCUAAAAAUUUAGCUUUGCUUUUGUUAUCUGAAUAUUGUACAGGAAUAUGAGCAUGCAAAUAAGAUCUUUGUUUAGUUUCAAGUCUUUUUAUAACUAAAUCUGCUGGCAUUAGACAAUAAAUACAUUUUCAAAAUAUGAAUAGUCUCUCAUUUGAUUCAAAUUAGAUGAGUUGUUUUGCAUGUUUCUUAUCAAUUAUGCAAUUAUUGUCUUAGUUUAAAUAUAAUCUAAUAGCUGACGCUGCAUUCAUAUGCUAUGCUGGAUUCCUAGCUAAAAUGAAAUCAGUAUGCUAGUAAAAUAUUUUUCAUACAUG